UGGGGAAUAUUGCACAAUGGGCGCAAGCCUGAUGCAGCCAUGCCGCGUGUGUGAAGAAGGCCUUCGGGUUGUAAAGCACUUUCAGCGGGGAGGAAGGCGAUAAGGUUAAUAACCUUGUCGAUUGACGUUACCCGCAGAAGAAGCACCGGCUAACUCCGUGCCAGCAGCCGCGGUAAUACGGAGGGUGCAAGCGUUAAUCGGAAUUACUGGGCGUAAAGCGCACGCAGGCGGUUUGUUAAGUCAGAUGUGAAAUCCCCGGGCUCAACCUGGGAACUGCAUCUGAUACUGGCAAGCUUGAGUCUCGUAGAGGGGGGUAGAAUUCCAGGUGUAGCGGUGAAAUGCGUAGAGAUCUGGAGGAAUACCGGUGGCGGAGGCGGCCCCCUGGACGAAGACUGACGCUCAGGUGCGAAAGCGUGGGGAGCAAACAGG
rnacentral:rRNA from 1 species